rnacentral:rRNA from 1 species
UACGUAGGCAGCGAGCGUUGUUCGGAGUUACUGGGCGUAAAGGGUGUGUAGGCGGUCGUUUAAGUUUGGUGUGAAAUCUCCCGGCUCAACCGGGAGGGUGCGCCGAAUACUGAAUGACUUGGAGUGCGGGAGAGGUGAGUGGAAUUCCUGGUGUAGCGGUGAAAUGCGUAGAUAUCUGGAGGAACACCGGUGGCGAAGGCGGCAUCCUGGACCAACACUGACGCUGAGGAGCGAAAGCUAGGGGAGCAAACGGG